GGUGGUUCUCGGGAGAUGCACCUGGAAUCGGGCUCCCUCCUCUCUGGUUCUGGGUGCAGCACCUGAGAACUGCA
rfam:Myotis brandtii contig305431, whole genome shotgun sequence.